rnacentral:rRNA from 1 species
AGCGAACGCUGGCGGCAGGCCUAACACAUGCAAGUCGAACGAACUCUUCGGAGUUAGUGGCGGACGGGUGAGUAACACGUGGGAACGUGCCUUUUGGUUCGGAAUAACUCAGGGAAACUUGUGCUAAUACCGAAUGUGCCCUUCGGGGGAAAGAUUUAUCGCCAUUAGAGAGGCCCGCGUCUGAUUAGCUAGUUGGUGAGGUAACGGCUCACCAAGGCGACGAUCAGUAGCUGGUCUGAGAGGAUGACCAGCCACACUGGGACUGAGACACGGCCCAGACUCCUACGGGAGGCAGCAGUGGGGAAUCUUGCGCAAUGGGCGAAAGCCUGACGCAGCCAUGCCGCGUGAAUGAUGAAGGUCUUAGGAUUGUAAAAUUCUUUCACCGGGGACGAUAAUGACGGUACCCGGAGAAGAAGCCCCGGCUAACUUCGUG